AUUGAACGCUGGCGGCAGGCCUAACACAUGCAAGUCGAACGAGGGGCGGACGGGUGAGUAAUGUCUGGGAAACUGCCUGAUGGAGGGGGAUAACUACUGGAAACGGUAGCUAAUACGGCAUACCAGGGGAUGGGCCCAGAGGGGAUUGGCUAGUAGGUGGGGUAAUGGCUCACCUAGGCGACGAUCCCGAGCUGGUCUGAGAGGAUGCCCAGCCACCCUGGAACGGAGACACGGUCCAGACUCCUACGGGAGGGAGCAGUGGGGAAUAUUGCACAAUGGGCGCAAGCCUGAUGCAGCCAUGCCGCGUGUAUGAAGAAGGCCUUCGGGUUGUAAAGUACUUUCAGCGAGGAGGCGUUACUCGCAGAAGAAGCACCGGCUAACUCCGUGCCAGCAGCCGCGGUAAUUC
rnacentral:rRNA from 1 species